CCUAAACAGUGAGCUUCAAGAUAUCCUCGGGCUGUGGUACACAUCGAGACCUUAUCACCAAAAACAACCAUCGCGGACACCAGGGAGGAGGCGUGGAAUAGAGCAACAUGGGCUGCAAACAUUUUCAGGAUCAAAAGUUGCUGGAGAAUGCAGAAUCCACAAAGAAUAACACUAUCCUGACAUUGGAAGAAACUGACCCUUUGAUACAAAAAAAGAAAAAAGAAGAAGAAAAAGAAAGAACGAAAAAGAAAUCCUCGAUAAUCGCGGGCCCCGAAAACGAGCUGCCACCGUUAACUCCAAAGGUGGAAUAAAGACCA